AGCCAUGCCGCGUGUCUGAAGAAGGCCUUCGGGUUGUAAGACUUUGUCAGGGAGCAAAACUUACUGGUUAAUACCUGGUGAGGUUGAGAGUACCUGAAGAAUAAGCACCGGCUAACUACGUGCCAGCAGCCGCGGUAAUACGUAGGGUGCAAGCGUUAAUCGGAAUUACUGGGCGUAAAGCGUGCGCAGGCGGACUUUUAAGCCAGAUGUGAAAGCCCCGAGCUUAACUUGGGGAAUUGCGUUUGGAACUGGGAGUCUAGAGUCUGUCAGAGGGGGAUGGAAUUCCACGUGUAGCAGUGAAAUGCGUAGAGAUGUGGAGGAACACCGAUGGCGAAGGCAGUCCCCUGGGAUAAGACUGACGCUCAUGCACGAAAGCGUGGGGGAGCAAACAGGAUAGAUACCUGUAGUCCACGCCCUAAACCG
rnacentral:rRNA from 1 species